rnacentral:lncRNA from 1 species
CAAUGACUUGCCUAGGGUCACACAGCUAGGAAGUGUCUGGGUCUAAAUUUGAACCCAGACCCUCCCAAUUCUGUCCACUGUCCUAUCUAUCUGCCCCUUCUGUCACCUUCUGAGUUAAAACAAUUCAAUAAAACAUAAGGCUAGGUAGCUGCUAGAUUUCUUUUCAGUGUUAUAGCUUUUAAGAAAGGAUCUCAGGUUAUUUCUGUUGCACAGGGAGGUGAAUAACAAGCAUUUCAUUUCAGGAUGAAAGUUAUUAGAAAGCAGAGGCCAAACACUCAGAAACUAUGGUCUCUGCCAGACCUAAUCUGGUGAUCUUGUUUUUGUUUCACAGAAUCACAGAAUUUCCCUUAGUUAGAGCCUUGAGGGCUAGCUUGUCUGAUUCAUUGGAUAAAGGCUAGAUGAUGGAUUCCAUUGGCAAAGGGACCUCUCCUCCUCACAUUAGCAUCUUCUCUGCUAUGGACAGUCCAAGAGAGCUUCCUAAAGAAUGGAGCAGAUUCUGUACCAUUCCUACUCUACUAGGGGCAUUAGAAGCAAAGCCUAAUGUGUUGGAGAGAUGCCUUCCUGUAUCUUGCAACAGACCACUUUAUAUUGGAAUUUAAGUUCUUCUAUGAAAUUCUACCAAAUGAUCCCUUAACUAGGGCACAGGUCAGUGUGGUUCCAUGAAAAGAGCAGUUUGGAGUCAGGAGACAUAGGUUCAAAUCUAGCCCCUCAUAUAUCUCUUUUGAUCUUGGCCAAAGUACUUCUUCCUGGACAUCAGUUUCCUCUAGCGAAAAAGAAGAUUACAUCAGUGGCUCUUAUGGGUUUGGAAAUUCCCUCCAGGGGUGCAGAUUGCUGUCCAUUCUUCAUGUCUUAUAGAAAGGGUUGUUUGUUUGUUUGUUGUUUUUGUUUUUGUGUGUUUUUUUUUUGGUACUAAUAGAAUGUUUUUUGUGUUUUUUUGCUUGUUGGUUUAAUUUUAUUUUUUGACAUCUCAUGAAAAAAGUUUGAUGAAGAGACAGAGAAGACAGUCUCUAGUGGGAAGGACCAAAGGUAAAGGGCUCUAGCACUUGACCAAAUUACAGCAAUAGAAUCAAGUGACAAAUGAUAACAACACCUCUGUAGUCUAAAAAUGAUGCCCAUAAUUUUAAAAGCACAACAUUCUUGACAUUUGUCAUUCGCUCGUUAUAAUGUGAGCUCCUGAGGGUAGGGCUGUGUUUUUGUCUUUCUUUGUACUCCCAAAGCUUUGUACACUAUUUGGUGCAUAAUAAGUGCUUGCUACAUGCUUUUGACAGUUUUCUUGUUGUGGAUGUUUUGUAUUGUUUUUAGUGGUUUCAGUAUUGGAAGCAAAAGAUGUUUUGGGAUGAAAGUUGGAUUAUAUAUUUCACCUGCA